UGGGAUCAUUGGUGCUCUGCAACUUGUGACGGGGGACGAUGGCGAGAAUGAUGGUAAUUGGGUUGAAAGUCCGAAUCCUCUCUCGGAUAAUUUCACCUUUUGUUUUCAGGGCCAGAGGAUUUCGUACGAGGAUUUUGAAUGGGAGGAGGUGGAGGAACGGGUGGACGAAAGGGAAAAUUCGAGCGUAGUUGUAGAUAGAGCUGAGGAAUUGUCUCUUGCAUCGGGUUUUUCCAAUGAAGAAGAAUCGGGAGAAGAGGCGGGUCGGUGGGAAAUCCUAUUGGUAAUGAACG
rnacentral:misc_RNA from 1 species